UACGUAGACCUCGAGCGUUAUCCGGAAUUAUUGGGCGUAAAGCGUUAAAAGGCUGUUUGGUAAGUUGUUUGUAAAAGCCCAAAGCUCAACUUUGGAUCUACAAGCAAAACUACCAAGCUAGAGGGUGGAAGAGGUAAGCGGAAUGGCUGGUGUAGCAGUAAAAUGCGUUAAUAUCAGUCAGAACACCAAUUGCGAAGGCAGCUUACUGGGACACAUCUGACGCUGAAUAACGAAAGCGUGGGUAGCGAAUGGG
rnacentral:rRNA from 1 species